rnacentral:rRNA from 1 species
UACGAAGGGGGCUAGCGUUGCUCGGAAUCACUGGGCGUAAAGCGCACGUAGGCGGAUCUUUAAGUCAGGGGUGAAAUCCUGGAGCUCAACUCCAGAACUGCCUUUGAUACUGGGGAUCUCGAGUCCGGGAGAGGUGAGUGGAACUGCGAGUGUAGAGGUGAAAUUCGUAGAUAUUCGCAAGAACACCAGUGGCGAAGGCGGCUCACUGGCCCGAUACUGACGCUGAGGUGCGAAAGCGUGGGGAGCAAACAGG